rnacentral:SRP_RNA from 1 species
AGCCGGGCCCCAUGCAUCGGUCCCCGUCGAACCUGGUCAGGUCGGAAGAAGCAGCCAUAAGACGAAGGGUCGAGUGCCGUGGCAAGCCCGGCCCCC